UAUAGCACGUUGAACACAAAUGUUCCCGUACAAUCAGUGAAGUUAAGCAACGUCUAGUCUGGUCAGUACCUAAAUGGAUGACCGCUUGGGAAUACCACGUGCUGUAUG